ensembl:lncRNA
CGAGCUACUAAUGGUCACAAAUCAGAAUAGUACAAUGUUUCUGCUGUUUUCUGAAGCUACAUUAGAAAGCCAGAGGUGUUUACUUGAAGUUCUGCCAUGUUAAUGUUUAUGUGCUUGCUUUAAAAUGCUGUAGUUCUUUAACUAAUCAUGCAUUGUUAACCUCUUGGAAAAGGCAGCGCUUCAGACUACGGUGUUUGCACAGCAGAUUGUAAAAUUGUGUCUCAGAGCUCCAAGGGGGCUAGAACUGUCACGAAUACUUCUAAUAAUAUUGGAAGAAAAUUAAUAGAAGCUCAAGUCCUUGAGCAGGAAUCAGAAUCACACAGCACGGCAUUAUGCAGCCUCUGAAAUUUGAGGAACUGCUGUACAACAUUUCCCAUGCUCAGUUGAGUAGCCAUGUUUUAUCCUCCAGUAAAUGUUUAUUCGGCUGAUCUUACAUUUGGGAAAACUACGACAAAACAGUGGCUGAAGAAAGCUUUACUAAAUUGUUUUCAUUUCCACCAAAAGGACUGAGGAGCACUGUGAGACUGACUGUUCUUUGUGCUGAACUCAAGAGACAGCAAACUCAAUACUGGAAUCACAGGAUCACACAGAAUCACAGAAUGGCCUGGGUUGGAAGGGACCUCAAGGAUCAUGAAUCCCCAAACCCCCUGCCAGGCAGGGCCACCAACCUCCCCAGUUACUAGACGAGGUUGUCCGGGGCCUCAUCCAACCUGGCCUUGAACACCUCCAGGGACGGGGCAUCUACAACCUCUCUGGGCAGCCCGUUCCAGCACCUCACCACUCUCCUGCUCUGGAGAAGAAACUAGGAAAGAAUCCCAGGGCUGGAACAGUCUCUAGAAGUUGGAUGGGCCAUCAUAGUGCUUCAGAAUCAACUACACUCAAUGUAAUGCCUGAAAGGAUUCCAAUGAUGGAGUUUUUGCAGCCUUCCCAAGAAAACCAUUGCAUGGCUUAGCUAUAUUUAUAAUAAGAUAACUGAUGUAAUGCCUCAUCUCAAUAUUAAUUUAAUGUUGAUUAUUCAUGUUCAGUUCACUAACUCAGUACGGUUCUUGUUCAAUUCCACAUAACUUUGC